rnacentral:rRNA from 1 species
AUUGAACGCUGGCGGCAUGCUUUACACAUGCAAGUCGAGCGGCAGCGCGGGGGCAACCCUGGCGGCGAGCGGCGGACGGGUGAGUAAUGCAUCGGAACGUAUCCCGUAGUGGGGGACAACCCAGCGAAAGCUGGGCUAAUACCGCAUAUGCUCUACGGAGGAAAGUGGGGGACCCGCAAGGGCCUCACGCUAUGGGAGCGGCCGAUGUCCGAUUAGCUAGUUGGUGGGGUAAAGGCCUACCAAGGCGACGAUCGGUAGCUGGUCUGAGAGGAUGAUCAGCCACACUGGGACUGAGACACGGCCCAGACUCCUACGGGAGGCAGCAGUGGGGAAUCUUGCGCAAUGGGCGAAAGCCUGACGCAGCAACGCCGCGUGGGGGAUGAAGGCUCUCGGGUUGUAAACCCCUUUCAGCAGGGACGAAUCAAGACGGUACCUGCAGAAGAAGCCCCGGCUAACUACGUGCCAGCAGCCGCGGUAAU